AUGGCUCAGAGAAUUGCCAUAACUCACAUAGCUAUCACUCAGAUGUUUCCAGCUCUAUUCCACUCAAGCCAAGUAGGCCACCACAAGAAGAAUAGGGCGGUGCUUCCCUGGUCCAUUGCUCUGCUUCACUUAGAAACAAGGCAUUUAAAAUCAUCAACAGAAGGCAUCGUAUUUUCACAGAACUUGGCACACAUGGAGGAAAAUUCAGAUUGUCAUGGUGAUAUCUGGCAUCUCUCGUCCUCUCCUGGGCUGUGGAGCUGAUUAACAUUUGCAGAAUUCUCUGAACUCCUCUGAUCAAAGGUGCAACGUCUUCUGAUUCCUGAAAUGUACUUCUUCUACUUUCCCUGUUGAUUUCCAACCCAUCAUCUUUCAUGACAACUUUCCUAAUAUCUGGAGCUAGAAGCUAUCCCUUCCUCCCUAAAGUUCUCAUAACAAUUUAUUUAAAUCUCUCCAGGACACUUAGCUUAUUGAGGAAAGGGAUCUCAGCUUGUUUAUGUGUAUACUUCUCUGCAUUAAGAACAGCACUUUGUAUAACAAACACUUAAUAAAAGUUUGAUGAAUGAAUUAAUCCA
rnacentral:lncRNA from 1 species